UCAACUUUAGCUUGCUCUUCAAGCUAGCCAUACCAAUUAUUCCCCAAGCUAAACAUAUUCUAUAAAUAGAAGGGUGUAAUAUCUCGUAUGAGGCAUCCCAAAACUUGAGUUAAUAAUGGAAGAAUCAUUGAUGCAAUUGAUGCGUCUCCUAGGGGAUGAAGAACCACAACUCCGGCGACGACGCAUCCGUAAUAGCAACAAAAAUGGUCGUCGGCAAAACACACAGUCUAACACUGGCACACAAAACAUGGAGGGUCUUAUUAACAACACCGGUUAUGUUGAGGGCAAUGGCAACGGAUGCAUCAUUCUUGGUGGUUUUGAUUCCUCAACAAAAGCUUUCGAUUAAUUAACUAUUUUUACUACUAUCACCAAUCUUAUUGUUGUACUAUAUAUUAUGUAUUAUGUGUUGUAUUGUUGAAAGAACUUGAGCAAUAGCUCUCUCAUCACAACUCUUGUAUCCAUGUUAUGUAGUUGUAUUUUUGUUUUUUGUUUUUAAUGAAAUAGUGAAAAAACUUGUACAUAGUUAUAAAAUUUUAUUUAAUUUAUUAUUUUAAAUGUGUGCAAUUACACAAUAUUCAUGA
rnacentral:lncRNA from 1 species